AGCAGCCGCGGUAAUUCCAGCUCCAAUAGCGUAUAUUAAGGUUGUUGCAGUUAAAAGCUCGUAGUUGAAUUUCGGGAUCAAUUUAUCGGUCGUGCCAAUGGUAUGAACUGGUACAAUUGGUUUCUCCCUUCUGACGAAGCAUGAUGCCAUUAAUUUGGUGUCGUGGGGAAUCAGGACUGUUACUUUGAAAAAUUAGAGUGUUUAAAGCAAGCAUUAGCUUGAAUACAUUAGCAUGGAAUAAUGAAAUAGGACGUUUGAUCCUAUUUCGUUGGUUUCUAGGAUCGACGUAAUGAUUAAUAGGGAUAGUUGGGGGCAUUAGUAUUCAAUUGUCAGAGGUGAAAUUCUUGGAUUUAUUGAAGACUAACUAC
rnacentral:misc_RNA from 1 species